rnacentral:misc_RNA from 1 species
UACGGAGGGGGCUAGCGUUGCUCGGAAUUACUGGGCGUAAAGCGCACGUAGGCGGCGAUGAUAGUCAGAUGUGAAAGGCCUGGGCUUAACCCGGGAACUGCAUUUGAUACUGCAUUGCUAGAGUCCGAGAGAGGGUGGUGGAAUUCCCAGUGUAGAGGUGAAAUUCGUAGAUAUUGGGAAGAACACCAGUGGCGAAGGCGGCCACCUGGCUCGGUACUGACGCUGAGGUGCGAAAGCGUGGGGAGCGAACAGG